UACGUAGGGGGCAAGCGUUGUCCGGAUUUAUUGGGCGUAAAGAGCGUGUAGGCGGCCUGAAAGGUCAGCUGUGAAAGUCAAAGGCUCAACCUUUGAAAGCCGGUGGAUACUGUGGGACUAGAGUACGGAAGAGGCGAGUGGAAUUCCUGGUGUAGCGGUGGAAUGCGCAGAUAUCAGGAGGAACACCGGUGGCGAAGGCGGGUCUCUGGGCAGUAACUGACGCUGAGGAACGAAAGCGUGGGUAGCGAACAGG
rnacentral:rRNA from 1 species